rnacentral:rRNA from 1 species
GGUGAACGCUGGCAGAAUGCUUAACACAUGCAAGUCAACUUGCACUUCGGUAUGGGUGUCGGACGGGUGAGUACCGCGUACAGAACUUGCCUCACAGCUAGGGACAACAUUUUGAACCGAAUGCUAAUACCUGAUAUUAUGCUUAUAUGGCAUCGUAUAAUUAUGAAAGCUAUAUGCGCUGUGAGAGAGCUUUGCGUCCCAUUAGCUAGUUGGAGAGGUAACAGCUCAGCAAGGCGAUGAUGAGUAGCCGGCCUGGGAGGGUGAUCGGCCACAGGGGGACUGAGACACGGCCAGUACGGAUACGGGAGGAAGGAGCGGAAAAGUGUGGAAGACGGACCGAGAGUGUGAUGCAGCAAUUCGGGGUGUACGAUGAAUUUUUUCGGAAAGUAAAGUGCUUUCAGAUUGGAAGAAAAAAAUGACGGUACCAAAAGAAGAAGCGACGGCUAAAUACGUG